rnacentral:rRNA from 1 species
GGCUCUUUGAGAGUAAAGAUGAAGAGUUUGACCUGCCCGGUGAUGAAUUAAACGGCCGCAGUAUCCUGACUGUGCGAAGGUAGCAUAAUAAUUUGUCUUAUAAUUAAAGAAUGGAAUGAAUGGUUUGACUAGGGUAUAGCUGUCUCUUAUAUAUUUUUUAAAAGUUAAUUUUUAAGUUAAAAAGCUUAAAUUAAAUUAAAAGACGAGAAGACCCUGUUGAGCUUAAUAAGGAAUAUAACUAAUUAUAGUUAUAGUAUAAAUAAAAAUUAGUAUUGGAAUUUUGGUUGGGGCGACUGAGGAAUAAAAAAAGCUUCCUUAAUAAGUUGAGAAAGAUAUUUUUAGAUCCAAAAAAUUUUGAAUUGAGAACAAGUUACCGCAGGGAUAACAGCGUUAUUUUUUUUGAGAGUUCUAAUCGAAAGAAAAGUUUGCGACCUCGAUGUUGGAUUAGGGAUAAAGUAAAGGUUGCAAAAGCUUUAUAUAUUUAGUCUGUUCGACUAUUAAUCCCCU